CACAUAGGGGACGAGCGUUAUCCGGAUUUACUGGGCGUAAAGUGCGUGGAGGCGGUUCCGUAAGUUGGAUGUGAAAGCUCCGGGCUCAACUCGGAGAGGCCAUUCAAUACUGCGGAACUUGAGGACAGCAGAGGGAGGUGGAAUUCCCGGUGGAGCGGUGAAAUGCGUAGAGAUCGGGAGGAACACCAGUGGCGAAGGCGGCCUCCUGGGCUGUUCCUGACGCUGAAGGCGAAAGCUAGGGGAGCAAACAGGAUUAGAUACCCCUGUA
rnacentral:rRNA from 1 species